rnacentral:rRNA from 1 species
AAAGGAAUUGACGGGGACCCGCACAAGCGGUGGAGCAUGUGGUUUAAUUCGACGAUACGCGAAGAACCUUACCUGGCCUUGACAUACUAAAAAGCUUUAAGAGAUUAGAGUGUGCUAGCUUGCUAGAAUUUAGAUACAGGUGCUGCACGGCUGUCGUCAGCUCGUGUCGUGAGAUGUUGGGUUAAGUCCCGCAACGAGCGCAACCCUCGUGUUUAGUUGCUAACAGUUCGGCUGAGAACUCUAAACAGACUGCCUACGCAAGUAGGAGGAAGGUGAGGACGACGUCAAGUCAUCAUGGCCCUUACGGCCAGGGCUACACACGUGCUACAAUGGGGUAUACAAAGAGCAGCGAUACGGUGACGUGGAGCAAAUCUAGAAAAUGCCUCUCAGUUCGGAUUGUAGUCUGCAACUCGACUACAUGAAGUUGGAAUCGCUAGUAAUCGUAGAUCAGCAAUGCUACGGUGAAUACGUUCCCGGGUCUU